CAGGACCUGUGAGGCUCACUAAGUACAAAUAGCCCUGGGCUCCCCAGGCUGCUGAGUCCAGCUGCUAACUUCUCAUUGUUUGCUAAAGCUGAACUCAAAGCAACAUCAACCAUGAGACUGUCCCUGUGUGUCCUGCUGAUCACUCUGGCCCUUUGCAGCUAUGAGGACUCAUAGAAUGCUCCAGCUGGGAGGGUUUUAGGAGAGUUUUCAGUUCAAUAAGAGCCAGCGUGGUCUGACUCUCUCAGGAAUUAGUCAGGAUCAGCAGCACUCAACACACGCACAUGCCCUGCUCUGUUUUUCGAAGUCCACCCAGGGUUGGAAGAACCAGUACAAUCUCAGGGCUGCACUGGCUGUGUUUCUAGGCAACUUCUAGCCACUCAUCCA